rnacentral:rRNA from 1 species
GACGAACGCUGGCGGCGUGCCUAACACAUGCAAGUCGAACGGAAAACAUAGCAAUAUGUUUUUAGUGGCGAACGGGUGAGUAACGCGUAGACAACCAACCUUUUUGUGGGGGACAACACUUCGAAAGGAGUGCUAACACCGCAUACGCUCCAGAUGCCGCCUGGUGUUUGGAGGAAAGGAGCUGUAAGGCUUCGCAAAAAGACGGGUCUGCGUCUGAUUAGCUAGUUGGAGGGGUAACGGCCCACCAAGGCGACGAUCAGUAGCCGGUCUGAGAGGAUGGACGGCCACACUGGGACUGAGACACGGCCCAGACUCCUACGGGAGGCAGCAGUGGGGAAUCUUCCGCAAUGGACGAAAGUCUGACGGAGCGACGCCGCGUGAGUGAUGAAGGCCCUUGGGUCGUAAAGCUCUGUCAUCAGGGACGAACGGUCACGUCAGGAAAUGGGCGUGAAUUGACGGUACCUGAGAAGGAAGCCACGGCUAACUACGUGCCAGCCGCCGCCGUA